UCCUCCUUUGCUGUGAGAUCUCAAGGAGGCGCCCAUGGAGGACCCUUGCUAUCUGGCCCCAGGGCCCAGGUGUGAACAGAUGAGACCUUUUCCUUCCACCACUGUCACCCAGAGCUGUCAUCCCGUCUGACCAUUGGGGACCCCAAUCAGGUCCAGAGCUGCCAGUGGGAAGCUGCCAGGGGUGGGCAGAGCCCAUGGCAGGGGGUCUGUCUGGAUUUUAUCUUCUUGGAGCUGCAGAGGGCUGAGACCAAGGCCAUCUUCAGGGUGAGCAUGGGGGCAGCCCAGACAAUAGAGAGAGAGGGUGAAAGACACCACAGCACUGAAGCUUCCUUCAAUCCUGUGGGGGCCAGGCUUGAACCUGGGGAUUGUACACAUGGCAAAGCAGCACACUAUUGAGACACAAUGGAAGAGAGACAGACAGAAAGGUGGGGAGAGCAUCACACUCCCAGAUCUCAAAUUGUAUUAUAGGGCCAUUGUAAUCAAAACUGCUUGGUACUGGAACAUGACUAGACUCACUGACCAGUGGAAUAGAAUUGAGAGCCUGGAAGUAAGGCCCCACACCUAUGGACAUCUAAUCUUUCACAAAGGUGCCCAAAGUAUUACAUGGGGAAAGCAGAGUCUCUUCAACAAAUGGUGUUGGAAAAAAAUGGGUUGAAACAUGCAGAAGAAUGAAACUGAACCACUGUAUUUCACCAAAUACAAAAGUAAAUUCCAAGUGGAUCAAGGACUUGGAUGUUAGACCAGAAACUAUCAGAUACUUAGAGGAAAAUAUUGUCAGAACUCUUUUCCGCAUAAAUUUUAAAGACAUCCUCCAUGAAAUGAAUUCAAUUACAAACAAGACUAAGGUAAGUAUAAACCAGUGGGACUAUAUCAAAUUAAAAAGCUUUUGCACAGCAAAAGAAACCACUACCCAAACCAAGAGAUCUCUUACAGAAUGGGAGAAGAUCUUUACAUGCCAUACAUCAGACAAGAGGCUAAUAACCAAAAUAUAUAAAGAGCUUGCCAAACUCAACAACAAGACAACAAAUAACCCCAUCCAAAAAUGGGGAGAGGACAUGGGCAGAAUAUUGACCACAGAAGAGAUCCAAAAGGCCGGGAACACAUGAAAAAAUGCCCCAAGUCUUUGAUUGUCAGAGAAAUGCAAAUAAAGACAACAACGAGAUACCACUUCACUCCUAUGAGAAUGUCAUACAUUAGAAA